CGUGAUAGGAAAUAGGUUGAGGGGUCCUUACCUGUUUCGGGGUCUGAAUUCGACUUUACAGUGCGCCUACAGGCUGUCCCUAAUUUCUCUGAAUUUUUAUCAGAAAACUGAAACGCACUACAGGUACCUGCACGUGUCCCAAAAAAUCUCAAAUCAGACCUAUGGCCCCUUUCGGCCAAUAUCGAAAUUCAGGCACGGCGGCUCUGCCGUGCUUCGGCGAUGGCGCCGCCGCUUGCGGCAGCGAUCCGCCUCGGGUUGGCCGUUUUCGACCGAAUUCGGUCACACUUGCAUCGGUCCCUGCGAUAAAACAACCUUAGGGCCCUCGGGGGGCCAAAAAAUCACGAAAAAUCGAAGCUUACCAGCGGCGGUGCUCUCGGGUGCGGCGGCUCUUCCGGCGUGAGUCGCGUUUUGAUGUUUGGCUCUGAUCAACUUGUAGAGAAAAGAAUGGUGAUCAUAGUGGUAUAAAAUUUGCAUCGAACGGAGGCCGGGAAGGGCCUCAUCGGAGGCAAAAACAGAGGGGGGGCGCGGCGGCGCCGCUGGGCUUCGGUUGGGUUUUUCGGCCGUUUAGCCAGUGGUUUGGCUCCAGUUUGGCCAUAAGCGGACUCAACAUCAAAAAACGAGCUAGAGAGAGAAACUUUGCCUCGAUCGGCGGUUGAAAACUUCCCCGGUGCGGCGGCGGGUGGCGACGGCCAGCUCCUCCGGCGUCUGGUUCUUCUUCUCCGGCGAGGCACUGGCGGCUAGGGUUUUGUGGUCAAGUGUGGGUGGGGUUAUUUAUACCCUUUGCCUUUUAAUCUCAACCAUCCAUCAAGAUUAAAUCUGGACCGUUCGAUCACGAUUUAAUUGGAAUUAAAUAUGGACCGUCCAUCGCGAUGCA
rnacentral:lncRNA from 1 species